UUAAAUUGGACUAAUAUUACAAUAACAUCGGGAUCGAAGUCGGGCUCGAUGAACAAUUAAUUUUAACAACACCGAAAUUCAAAGAUAUCGAAUACCGUGUUGAUGUUCCACAGAAGGAAAGUUGGAACGAGUGCCACGAACAGGGGUAUCAUGGUCAGCUUGGGAUGAAAGAAGAUGACGACAUUUUAAAGACCGUUGCUGCAUUGCCUGAGAUGAUUUUCACAGCCCUGGCCUUUGAUAAAAGUGCAUAUACAUGUAGAUGCUUAACCAAUCAGUCACUAGGCUUGUGAAUAUGGAAUCCGGAUGCUCACAAGAUUUAGGACAAGAACUGUAUAAAAAAAUGAAAUUGUGCAAGGAAAGUUUGAAGUGUCUGUUGGAAUGAUCAACAUCGAACUUGCUGAGCCUUCGUACUAAAAGUGAAUCCGUUGGUGACACCAAAUAUCUGUCAACCCUCUAUUGCAAAUUUCAUGGGAUAUUUGUGAGGAUGUGAUUCUAGCAACAUGUCAGAAGUUUUGUAUCUUCCAUAAUUGGGAUCUUUGGAACGUACAUUGGUGGAAAAUAGCAACUGUUCAUUUUAUGGGAUCUUUGUAUCAAUGUAGUUGUGUACUACAUGUAUUUUUGCAUUUAAUACAUGUGUUUGUCACUCUCGUCACUAAUUUUGUACAGUAAAUGUACAUGGGCCACUGGCACUUUAUUGUAAAUGUAUAUCCUGUUGAGGUUUCAAUGACCUCUCCCAAUCCUCGGCCAAUGUCAUUUAAUGAAUCUAACCUCUUAUUAAAAAAAAAAUGCAUACUUUAGUUUACUACAUACAUGUACAUGUAUAUCAUAACUUGAUUAUCAUUAAUUUAACCAAGGUG